CUUCCAUACACCGAAUAUACUAGACCUAUUGCUUAUAGUAUCUGAGAUAUGGACUUGACCACCAAAACUUAACCUUGUUCAUUGAUCCAUGAAAUGAGGUCGAGGUCAAGUGAAAACUGUCUGACGGGCAUGAGGACCUUGCAAGGUACGCACAUACCAAAUAUAGUUGAACUAUUGCACAUAGUAUUAGAAAAAAAGACCAAAACUCAAAAACUUAACUUUGACCACUGAACCAUGAAAAUGAGGUCAAGGUCAGAUGACACCUGCCCGCUAGACAUGUACACCUUACAAUCAUUCCAUACACCAAAUAUAGUAGACCUAUGGCAUACAGUAUAAGAAAAACAGACCAAAACACAAAAACUUAACUAUAACCACUGAACCAUGAAAAUGAGGCCAAGGUCAGAUGACACCUGCCAGUUGGACAUGUACACCUUACAGUCCUUCCAUACACCGAAUAUACUAGACCUAUUGCUUAUAGUAUCUGAGAUAUGGACUUGACCACCAAAACUUAACCUUGUUCACUG